GGAAUUUUCCGCAAUGGGCGAAAGCCUGACGGAGCAACGCCGCGUGAGGGAUGAAGGCCUCUGGGCUGUAAACCUCUUUUCUCAAGGAAGAAGAUCUGACGGUACUUGAGGAAUAAGCCACGGCUAAUUCCGUGCCAGCAGCCGCGGUAAUACGGGAGUGGCAAGCGUUAUCCGGAAUUAUUGGGCGUAAAGCGUCCGCAGGCGGCCUCGUAAGUCUGUUGUCAAAGCGUGGAGCUUAACUCCAUUUCGGCAAUGGAAACUGUGAGGCUUGAGUGUGGUAGGGGCAGAGGGAAUUCCCGGUGUAGCGGUGAAAUGCGUAGAUAUCGGGAAGAACACCAGUGGCGAAGGCGCUCUGCUGGGCCAUAACUGACGCUCAUGGACGAAAGCCAGGGGAGCGAAAGGGAUUAGAUACCCCUAUAGUCCUGGCCGUAAACGAUGAACACUAGGUGUCGGGGGAAUCGACCCCCUCGGUGUCGUAGCCAACGCGUUAAGUGUUCCGCCUGGGGAGUACGCACGCAAGUGUGAAACUCAAAGGAAUUGACGG
rnacentral:rRNA from 1 species